GCCUGGGUGGCUCAGUCGGUUGAGCAUCUGACUUUGGCUCAGGUCAUGAUCCCACAGUUUGUGGAUUUGAACCCCACAUUGGGCU
rnacentral:tRNA from 1 species